GAUCCUGGCUCAGGACGAACGCUGGCGGCGUGCCUAACACAUGCAAGUCGAGCGAUGAAAAUUGGAGCGUUCCCUUCGGGGAACAAUCCGAUUGGAUUAGCGGCGGACGGGUGAGUAACACGUGAGUAACCUGCCGUACACAUUGGGAUAGCCUCGGGAAACUGGGAUUAAUACCAAAUGAAACAUACAGAUAGCAUUAUCUAAAUGUCAAAGAUUUUAUCGGUGUACGAUGGACUCGCGUCUGAUUAGCUAGUUGGUAAGGUAACGGCUUACCAAGGCGAUGAUCAGUAGCCGGCCUGAGAGGGUGAUCGGCCACAUUGGGACUGAGACACGGCCCAAACUCCUACGGGAGGCAGCAGUGGGGAAUAUUGCACAAUGGAGGAAACUCUGAUGCAGCGACGCCGCGUGAGCGAAGAAGGGAUUCGUCUCGUAAAGCUCUGUCCUAUGGGAAGAUAAUGACGGUACCAUAGAAGAAAGCCCCGGCUAACUACGUGCCAGCAGCCGCGGUAAUACGUAGGGGGCUAGCGUUGUCCGGAAUCAUUGGGCGUAAAGGGUUCGUAGGCGGUAAUACAUGUCAGAUGUGAAAUCUUGUGGCUUAACCACAUCAAGCAUCUGAAACUGUAUAACUUGAGUGAAGGAGAGGUAAGUGGAAUUCCUAGUGUAGCGGUGAAAUGCGUAGAUAUUAGGAAGAAUACCAGUAGCGAAGGCGACUUACUGGCCUUUAACUGACGCUGAGGAACGAAAGCGUGGGUAGCAAACAGGAUUAGAUACCCUGGUAGUCCACGCCGUAAACGAUGAGUGCUAGGUGUCGGGUGUCAAAGCUCGGUGCCGCAGUUAACGCAAUAAGCACUCCGCCUGGGGAGUACGUACGCAAGUAUGA
rnacentral:rRNA from 1 species